rnacentral:rRNA from 1 species
GAUGAACGCUGGCGGCAUGCCUAACACAUGCAAGUCGGACGGGAGGUGGUGUUUCCAGUGGCGGACGGGUGAGUGACGGGUAAGUAACUGCCCUGGGGAGGGCCACCACAGCUGGAAACGGCUGCUAAUAGCCCGCAGGCUGAGGAGCAGAAGGAGGAAUCCACCCGAGGGGUGGCGUGCGUCUGAUUAGCUAGUUGGUGCUGCAAUAGCUUACCAAGGCGAUGAUCAGUAGAUGGUCCGAGAGGAUGAUCAGCCACACUGGGACGGGGACAAGGACCAGGCACCAUCGGGAGACAGGAGUGGGCAAGAUUCCGCAAUGGGGGGAGGGUGAAGGGGGCAUUGGCGCGGGGAAGUAGAAGGACUAGGGAUCGAGAACUGCUUUUCCCGGAGAAGAAGCAAUGACGGUACCUAGGGAAUAAGCAUCGGCUAACUCUGUG